GCAGCGGAGGAGGGGGCGGCGGCGGUGGCAGCAAGUCGCCACGCCACGGCGCCGGGUCGCAGCGUCCCAACCCGAGCUCGGCUGAGCAGGCCAAGCUGCGAGAGGCGGCCCUGCAGUCGGCGCAGAGCUUCUUCCGCGGCGAGAACUCCGCCAGUCAGCAAGCGAGAUCGAACGUGUUCAGUGCACCGGACACGACACAUACUGAAGCGCGAUCCAAUGCAUUUGGGACAGACUCUUCUAAUACUGACGUCGGCAAGCCGCUGGAGACGUUGGGCGACACUGCGGCGGAGGCGGCCGCCGCACCUGAUCCGCCAGCCCCGACUUCGGUG